CCAACGGGUGGCAGCAGUGAGGAAUAUUGGUCAAUGGGCGGGAGCCUGAACCAGCCAAGUCGCGUGAAGGAAGAAGGUACUUAGUAUUGUAAACUUCUUUUGUGCGGGAGCAAUAAUGGUCACGUGUGGCCAGACGAGAGUACCGUACGAAUAAGCAUCGGCUAACUCCGUGCCAGCAGCCGCGGUAAUACGGGGGAUGCAAGCGUUAUCCGGAUUUAUUGGGUUUAAAGGGUGCGUAGGCUGUGAGGUAAGUCAGCGGUGAAAUGCCCCCGCUCAACGGGGUGAAGUGCCAUUGAUACUGCCUUGCUGGAAUGCGGAUGCCGUGGGAGGAAUGUGUGGUGUAGCGGUGAAAUGCAUAGAUAUCACACAGAACACCGAUUGCGAAGGCAUCUCACGAAUCCGCGAUUGACGCUGAUGCACGAAAGCGUGGGUAUCAAACAGGAUUAGAUACCCGAGUAGUC
rnacentral:rRNA from 1 species